AACGAACGCUGGCGGCAGGCCUAACACAUGCAAGUCGAGCGAGGACUUCGGUUCUAGCGGCGGACGGGUGAGUAACGCGUGGGAAUGUGCCCUUCUCUACGUAAUCGCCCUGGGAAACUGGGAGUAAUACCGUAUACGCCCUAUUGUGGAAAGAUUUAUCGGAGAAGGAUCAGCCCGCGUUGGAUUAGGUAGUUGGUUGGGUAAUGGCCUACCAAGCCGACGAUCCAUAGCUGGUUUGAGAGGAUGAUCAGCCACACUGGGACUGAGACACGGCCCAGACUCCUACGGGAAGCAGAAGUGGGGAAUCUUAGACAAUGGGGGCAACCCUGAUCUAGCCAUGCCGCGUGAGUGAUGAAGGACUUAGGGUUGUAAAGCUCUUUCAGCUGGGAAGAUAAUGACGGUACCAGCAGAAGAAGCCACGGCUAACUCCGUG
rnacentral:rRNA from 1 species